rnacentral:rRNA from 1 species
GUGCCAGCCGCCGCGGUAAUACAUAGGGGGCAAGCGUUAUCCGGAAUUAUUGGGCGUAAAGGGUGCGUAGGUGGCCAUUUAAGUCUUUGGUGUAAGUGCAGUGCUCAACGCUGUGAUGCUAAAGAGACUGGGUGGCUUGAGUGUGGUAGAGGCAAGUGGAAUUCCAUGUGUAGCGGUAAAAUGCGUAAAUAUAUGGAGGAACACCAGUGGCGAAGGCGGCUUGCUGGGCCAUAACUGACACUGAGGCACGAAAGCGUGGGGAGCAAACAGGAUUAGAUACCCUGGUAGUCCACGCCGUAAACGAUGAGUACUAAGUGUUGGAGAAAUUCAGUGCUGUAGUUAACGCAAUAAGUACUCCGCCUGAGUAGUACGUACGCAAGUAUGAAACUCAAAGGAAUUGACGGGACCCCGCACAAGCGGUGGAUCAUGUUGUUUAAUUCGAUGAUACGCGAAGAACUUACCAGGUCUUGACAUCCCUUGCAAAGCUCUAGAGAUAGAGUGGAGGUUAUCAAGGAGACAGGUGGUGCAUGGUUGUCGUCAGCUCGUGUCGUGAGAUGUUGGGUUAA